rnacentral:lncRNA from 1 species
CAAACAGCAAGCAAGCAAGCAAGCAACAAGCAAGCAAGCAAGCAAACAAACAAACAAACCUAUGUGUACUGGGAGUAGGAAGGGAAGGGAGCCGGGCAGAAAAUAUCCCUGCAUUUGUUAGAAGGAACUUAGUGCCUUCUUCCGGAGCUGAUGUAAAUUCUGCUGUUCACAGCACAAAGGCAUUUCUUUCCACUUCUUGCUUGCUGUAAGCAAGGUUAGAGACCAGAGCUGAAAAUGCCUUAGUGUUAAACUACUGCCUGACACAAUGAAACAAAGGCAGUGUUUAGCUCUCCCUUUUCAACAUAGGAGCAUCUGUUGCUAUGUUAAAAAAAAACAAAUGCUGUGGGAAGCCUAGUCCCAAGGGGACAGUUUGGAUAGUGGGCUCCGCUCCUCCCGCCCCCAGAACAAGACCAGCCAACAACAACAGGAGCCUGACAGCUGGAAUCCAUUCUGGAUGUCUACACUGAGCAUUCACCCGUGAUUAGAUUUGUUUCCACAAUGGUCCCAAACUCAUAACAUGCACUUAAAAUCAAGACCCCCUUCCCAAUCCCCUUAAAUAAAACCUAGUCUGUGAGUCAUUACUCUUUAUCCAGUUCAAACUUGGUGGCUUGAAGAAGCAACCACUAAGUGCAACAUGAGCCCAGCAGUGAAGUCUCCGAGGCGGGCUCACACACCACAGCCUCUGAUAAACAUCGAGAAGUGGGCGUUGGGAUGGGAGGUUCUUGAGGAAGAGCUCUAAUUGUGUAAAUGUUCAUACUCUUUGGCCCUGGAUGUAAUCAAGUGAUCUUUGUGCCUUCCAGAUUUUUUUUUCUUUUUUGUUAAUCAAGGUGAUGUGGAUGAUUUUUUUAACUUACAUUUUAAAAACUUACAUUUCAUUGAUUUAUUGUGUGUGGUGGAGGAGGGCUCAUGCACACAUGUGUGCACGCGUGGAGGUCAGAGAACAACAUGUGGGUGUUGGCUUUUUCCUCCCACCACGUGGGGUCUGGGGCUCAGACUCAGGUCACCCAACAGGCUUGACGGUCAUUUCCCAUACCCACUGAGCCAUCUCACCAACUCCAGGUUAAAUUUGACAUAAAGUCACAGUAAGAAUGAUUUUGCUUUCCCAGGGCCACUCAGGUCACAUUCAGGAGAGGGGACAUAUGGGACAAGGAGUAAGAACACCUCCACAGGGAAGGUGGAUGGAGCGGUGGAUGGUAAGGUCUUUCAGGUUUAGAAGAGCAGGUUCCUGCACAGAACUGAGUUUUGCCCCAGGCUUGUCCUGCUGCUGAGAAAUCAGAGAUCCCGUCUCUGCACAGACACGGGGGAAAUAGAAACUGUACAUUUGCUCCGGGGCUUUUCCUCAACUCUCCGAGCCUGGAUAAACACAGAACUGCAUUUCUUGGACUCAGACCCAUCUGGAGUAAGGAAGCGUCCUGCUGCAUUGGCUAGACAUCAACCAGCGGCCACAGGCGAACGAGCAAAAAGAAUGGCCUCUUAUCCACGGUGGGAAAGAAAUGGUGUGCAGGAUUCGAGGUCACUCCACAGUGCUGGGAACACGCCAGUCAAUCCGGGCGAAAGCCUCUCCUGCUUUUCCUGUCAUACUACCUCUGUAGGCCAAAUGUCACCGUUUAGAACCAGCCUGAAAUCUUACUUGAAAGCCAAGAAGACAGAUGCUAAGUGGAUCCUUGUGUUUUGCCAAAUCCAGAUUGCUUCACAGCUUGUCCUUGUGAUGUUCCCACCACUGACUGGACUCCUCUGGGGCUUUCAGUGAAGCGAGGAGAGUCACCGGAUCAUCAUGGUUGUUAGGGCAAGAAAAGGCAGAAAAGGUAGGAGACUGACGGAAACAUCGAGACUUCACGGCUGACAGAUCAUAGGUAGGUCUCAUCAAAGGAGAAGUUUAAGUCCAAAUCACAUAGCCCAGUGGGACCACCACUUUGGUGGGCUCCCAUGUGUGGAGCCUGCUCUGCACCAUGGCAUCGGUAUCCUCACAGUCCAGGCUGGCACUGUUGCAGGGGGGCAGAGCACACGGGCUGCUAGAGGAUCCCUGCAUACUUUAUCUACUAUAAUGUUGUUAGUUGCAAGUUGCAUCAACAACCCUGCGGCCCCAGACACUGCUCAGGGAGCACCAAUGCAGCCGCGAGUGUGGCCUAAUCACUCAUUUGGUGCCAGGCUCUGUGCUGUUUGAGGAACCCUGAACUUUUCCCAGCAGCUUACAAAGUUGGAUCUUACACACAAGUACACCAAGGCGAGUUGAGGAGAGGCUGCCUGCCCCGCGUCUGAGACCAUACUGACUCCAGGCCUCAUACACUAAGUAUGAAGAGGUGUCUCCUGUCCUUGGCAAUGUGUACAGACUGCAAGGUGGUGUCCUCAGUUCCCCUAUGCUGGGCAUUUCUGUUCCUUGGCACCAUUGAAGGGGCUACACAGAUCUAGGGCUACCCCAGGAUCAGACUACUCAAUGGGUCUUCAGGAGCUACACCCCCUGUGAAGGACAGACUUUUGAAGCCACUGGACUGGAAAUUCAGGAGGUGGGGUCCAGGCAUGGAUAGAUUGUUUCUAAAUAGCUGUCAAAUAGCAGAUCCCCCAUUCCGCUGCUCAAGAGCAUAAACUGGAAGUGGGGGUCACUGGCCAGUCUUGGCACGAGUCACAGAAUGUCCUCUGGAAUUCUUGUGAAUAAGGCCAAGGGCUCGAAGGCUGCAGUGUUGGGCUUAUGAAGGCAGAGGAAGAGCUUUCUGAGCUAUGGGAGUCACAGUCUCCUCAACAGCUCGCCGCACCUGAGCAGAGAGCAAGGGCAGAGAGGCCGAGAGAGGCUGGGCUCACAGAGGCCCGGGAACAUUCCUCUAUUCUUUUUCUCUAAAGCUCCAACGUGAGGGGGGCUCCAGGCUUUCCAACCUCGGAAGAGCAAUGUUACUAACAAACUCUGAGUAAUUUAAGCCUGAGAAGCCAGUGGACGCAGGAGGAGUCAGUGGACAUGAGGACGGGAGAGGGCUCGCACUCACACACUCCAUAUCCUCACUUGUUCUGGACCCUUGUGUUGAAGAGUGAGUGGAUAAAAUAAUGGAUUUCAUUAUGACAUUUUCAUCCCUUUGCACUGUCCUUAGCUCGUCUUAGCCUUCUCAUUUCUAUUUCCCCCUUAAGCUUUCAGAAGGUCUUUCCUUUAGUCGACAAAGCACAAAAGAAUCAAGUUUUUAAAUGAGUAUUACAAUUCAUAACUAAAACACUAGCGGAGAACAUUUCCACAGGACUCAGAAAACGCAAAGCAGCGUUUGCGAUGAUGCCCAUGACAAAAGUAUAGCAGAAACACAAAUAUCAUCCGCGUGGCUUAGCAGAAAGUAUACCUUAGAUAUUAAGCCCGAGUGACUCCUUAAAAGCAGAAACUGGGCUUUUCCAGUUCCUAUCAGUGUGGAGAUAGAGACACUUUGUGGGUACCAAGGCAGCUCAGUAGAGGGAAAGACUCACCUGGGAAAGAACUGGAUCUAGCCCAACUCCUGUGGAAAGUUCUAGAGUACUAUAAAGACAAAGUUACUUAUACAGACAUCAGCAGGUUAGGGACCGGAGUUUCAAUAAGGCAGGUGUUGCUGCAGUAUAGUCUUCGUGGUGGGGUCCUCUUCUUUGCAACUGGAGCCAUCAGCUGGUCUUCCGAGUAACGACUCAUCAUGAAGAAUUAGCUCUGGUUGACUCUGACUCCAUCAUCUAUUCUUUAGGUCUGAAAUACCUUUGAGCAGGCAGGACACUGAUGGGAGCUGGCUUUAGGCACCACUGUCUCUCUUCUGCAUCAGCACAGUAGCUUUGCUGCAUCGUGUACAGUUUCUUGUUGUGCAGUGCUGGGAAUCGAACCCAGCUUACUAGGGUCUGAUUUGAAGUCCUGUCUCCUGGAGGGAUGUGCAGGCUCUCAGCCUCUGUCACUGUCUUCUUCUCCAAGUAGAGUCAUAUGUGCACUUGGAAUGGAGUCAAGCUGCAGCGAUUUUGUCUCCCAAGGGACACUUGGCACAUGUGGCAACUGUUAUCGGUGCUCACUUGCUGAGUUGGGGUACUGCCGGCAUCCAGUGGGUGGGGACAGGAGUGCUGCCCAGAUCUCACAGUCAGCAACACAGUUACCUGGUCCAAAUACAGCUAAGGAGAGGGAAGGGUUGAAGAUAUGUCUGGGCUCCCCUGCAGGGCCUUGCUUUUUCAACCUUGCCAGGAACUUUACUCUUCACC